UACGUAGGGUGCGAGCGUUAAUCGGAAUUACCGGGCGUAAAGCGUGCGUAGGCGGUUCGUUAAGUCAGCUGUGAAAGCCCCGGGCUCAACCUGGGAAUUGCGGUUGAAACUGGCGAACUAGAAUCUGGCAGAGGGGGGUGGAAUUCCACGUGUAGCAGUGAAAUGCGUAGAGAUGUGGAGGAACACCGAUGGCGAAGGCAGCCCCCUGGGCUGAGAUUGACGCUCAGGCACGAAAGCGUGGGGAGCAAACAGG
rnacentral:rRNA from 1 species